rnacentral:rRNA from 1 species
GACGAACGCUGGCGGCGUGCUUAACACAUGCAAGUCGAACGGAAAGGCCCUGCUUUUGUGGGGUGCUCGAGUGGCGAACGGGUGAGUAACAUGUGAGUAACCUGCCCUUGACUUUGGGAUAACUUCAGGAAACUGGGGCUAAUACCGGAUAGGAGCUCCUGCUGCAUGGUGGGGGUUGGAAAGUUUCGGCGGUUGGGGAUGGACUCGCGGCUUAUCAGCUUGUUGGUGGGGUAGUGACUUACCAAGGCUUUGACGGGUAGCCGGCCUGAGAGGGUGACCGGCCACAUUGGGACUGAGAUACGGCCCAGACUCCUACGGGAGGCAGCAGUGGGGAAUAUUGCACAAUGGGCGGAAGCCUGAUGCAGCAACGCCGCGUGCGGGAUGACGGCCUUCGGGUUGUAAACCGCUUUCGCCUGUGACGAAGCGUGAGUGACGGUAAUGGGUAAAGAAGCACCGGCUAACUACGUG